GCGUCUCCAGCUCCCAGUCCGCCCUUACAGCACCAACUUGAUUGUCCCAGGCCGUCCACGUCUUCAGCGCAUCCCCACCACACCUCACAGCCAUCCAGCCAAUUUCCCAAUCCUCCACGCCAUCAACGCAAUCGAAGCAACGUUUCUUCUCCCAACAGCCAUCCGUUUCUUCUCCCAGCAGCCAUCUGUUUCUUCUCUUCCGAGUUCCAGCUCCUUCUCGUGAAGCCAGCAAAUCCCAUAUGCAGCGUCCCAGCCGAUUCAAGGAGCCGCUUCAGCCGCCUGUGAUUCUCCCCCAAAUCCCAACAUCCCAGCCUCUUCUCCCAUCCGUAUUCAUCAUCCACGGAUCCGCUCCUCCCAGCACCGAUUUCGGUCGCCCGUUUCAAAGAUCCACAGCUUCAUCCCGUGCGGAAACAAGGGGGAAGAAAGGAUCACACGCUCGUUUCUAAUCCGGCGUCCACAAAGCUUCCGG
rnacentral:lncRNA from 1 species